rnacentral:rRNA from 1 species
GCGAUUUACUGGGAAACUGUCCACCAUGGGCAUGUCCGUGAAUGUAAAGUCCACUGGAAUGUGGCAGCGCUUCGGCGUUCUUUGGGUCAGAGAGGGUGAAAACCCCGUUUACAUUCAUUGUGGGGCGUGUCUGUUGUGUGGGCGUGUUGAAGAGUCGGAUUGUUUGGGAAUGCAAUCCAAAACGGGUGGUAAAUUCCAUCCAAGACUAAAUAUUAGCAAGAGACCGAUAGCGAACAAGUACCGUGAGGGAAAGAUGAAAAGCA